rnacentral:rRNA from 1 species
AUUGAACGCUGGCGGCAGGCCUAACACAUGCAAGUCGGGCGAGUGGCGGACGGGUGAGUAAUGUAUGGGGAACUGCCUGAUGGCGGGGGAUAACUACUGGAAACGGUAGCUAAUACCGCAUACCAUCAGAUGAACCCAUAUGGGAUUAGCUAGUAGGUAAGGUAACGGCUUACCUAGGCGACGAUCCCUAGCUGGUCUGAGAGGAUGAUCAGCCACACUGGGACUGAGACACGGCCCAGACUCCUACGGGAGGCAGGCGUGGGGAAGAAUGCACCAAGGGCGCAAGCCUGAUGCAGCCAUGCCGCGUGUAUGAAGAAGGCCUUCGGGUUGUAAAGUACUUUCAGUCGGGAGGCGUUACCCACAGAAGAAGCACCGGCUAACUCCGUGCCAGCAGCCGCGGUAAUUC